ACAAACCGGAGGAAGGUGGGGAUGACGUCAAAUCAUCAUGCCCCUUAUGACCUGGGCUACACACGUGCUACAAUGGACGGUACAACGAGUCGCGAAGUCGUGAGGCUAAGCUAAUCUCUUAAAGCCGUUCUCAGUUCGGAUUGUAGGCUGCAACUCGCCUACAUGAAGUUGGAAUCGCUAGUAAUCGCGGAUCAGCAUGCCGCGGUGAAUACGUUCCCGGGCCUUGUACACACCGCCCGUCACACCAUGAGAGUUUGUAACACCCAAAGCCGGUGAGAUAACCUUCGGGAGUCAGCCGUCUAAGGUGGGACAGAUGAUUAGGG
rnacentral:rRNA from 1 species